CGUCAAACUCCCGUUGUCGAUAAACGCCAGGAUGCGACGACGACGACGAUGAUGCCGGGCCAGAACAGGCUACUGCUAUCAAGAUAGCAAGGCCGCACUUGAGCUCUUGGUUCCAAUUCCAGAAAUAUAACGAGAAUGAGGUGGUUGGACUUCAAUCUCAAGGUGCUAGAUGCCUCUAAUGCUCCUGUUUCUGUGCCAAAUCUGCAUGGGCUCCUCAUUGUCAAGUCAUGAUCCCUCAGCAUGGUGAAGAAUUACCUCUAUUCAAAGAUUGAUUAAUGCUGAUCAACAUGAGGGUCAAUCCAUGUCGUAUAUUUGAAGCAUGUAGAUCUUUUCACCUCUCUUAUGGCACAACUCUCUUCCCGUUAAGGGGCCUAUCUCCUCGGUCCACAGAGACAAAAUGUAGGACUGGUGCUGGUAGUUCAUCACAGAAGAAAGGACUCACCGAGCCAGGAUCACCGACGAAUACUAAUAUAAUAAAAUAUAAAAGAAUUGUCUUUUUGUUUGCUUUCCUUGGUUCCAUUGCUACCGCAGGCCAUACACAAUUGAUUAGAUCAUAUGGAUAUCCCUUCAACACAAUGCAGCUCAUCUAAAGGAUUUGGGACGGCUCACUGGAGCAUGAAAGCCAGGGACCCUUAGUUCGUCAGACAUUAGGAUCACCAUAUGCUGCUUUAGCAUCUUCUUUCUUCAUCUAAUUACAGCAGACAGAACAAAAAUUUUAGGGGGAAAUCAGAGGGGUGGAAAGGUACUGCAUAUGGUCGGCUAAAUAAGUAACAGGGGACGCUACUGAUGGAACCGUAAUCGCUGCAUAUUCGCCAGCGAAGAAAGUACCAGUGCUUUUGACCGCUGAUGGUGACCCACAUGGUUGCAGUGGCUUAAAAGCUCCAAAUUGGUUCAUGGGUGAUCUUCAUAUAUUUUACUUCGUUCUCCCUUUUUAUUUUUUCCUGAUACCAUGAUCUUGGU